rnacentral:rRNA from 1 species
UACGUAGGGGGCGAGCGUUGUCCGGAUUUAUUGGGCGUAAAGAGCUCGUAGGCGGUUCGGUAAGUCGGAUGUGAAAUCUCCACGCUUAACGUGGAGGGGCCAUUCGAUACUGCCGUGACUCGAGUCCGGUAGGGGAGUGUGGAAUUCCCGGUGUAGCGGUGAAAUGCGCAGAGAUCGGGAGGAACACCCGUAGCGAAGGCGGCUCUCUGGGACGGUACUGACGCUGAGACGCGAAAGCGUGGGGAGCGAACAGG